AUACGGAGGGUGCAAGCGUUAUCCGGAAUCAUUGGGUUUAAAGGGUCCGUAGGCGGGCGAUUAAGUCAGAGGUGAAAUCCCACAGCUCAACUGUGGAACUGCCUUUGAUACUGGUUGUCUUGAAUUUUAGUGAAGUAGAUAGAAUAUGUAGUGUAGCGGUGAAAUGCAUAGAUAUUACAUAGAAUACCGAUUGCGAGGGCAGUCUACUAACUAACAAUUGACGCUAAUGGACGAAAGCGUGGGGAGCGAACAGGAUUAGAAACCCCUGUAGUCC
rnacentral:rRNA from 1 species